rnacentral:misc_RNA from 1 species
GUAUUGAUUGCGUGUGACCGCAAAAACAAAACAUUCUAGACUGUAUCGAAUUUUGUGUGAAAACGUGAGCCCUCCUGCAAAGGGGGGACCCGCGCGGUGAUGCACAAAGGGGUGAGAUGGAUUUUGUGCGAGAGCGCUCGGGCGUGCACGACAAAAAAGUCAGCGACAGCCCUUGCACCUCAGUUUUACGAUAAUGAUCCUUCCGCAGGUUCACCUACGGAAA